rnacentral:lncRNA from 1 species
GCAGGGGCUAGGGCUAAGGGCCUGGCUUGUGGAGUCUGAAGAUGAGUCAGUAAAAAAGCUGCUUGAGACACCAGAGAGGAACUGAGAAUGAAUAAUAUCCUUGAAGAAGAGAGAACCAUUGUUUCAAGAGGAGGAUGAAGAUGCAAAUAGUCAGAGGUGAAAACUCAGAUAAUUCCUUUGAAAUGAUCUGCUUUGCGACCCUCCGUGUCUUCUGUCAUACCUGUCCUUUGGCCUGGAAUUCUCUCCCAUCCUUUCUACCUGCUCUUCCUUCUUUAUCUUUUAGUAACUCUGAAAUCCCUCACUCCCCCUGUCAGAUUUUAGGCCUUUGUUUCUCUCUGCUCUGUUGAACUGUGCAUAGAUUUUUAAAUUUUUUUCUUAGCACAGUGUUUGCCCAAGUUUCCUUAAUAAUAGGAGUCACCUGGCUUGCUUAGUGACCAUCAGACGAGACCAGACCUCUCACUUGGAUAUUCUGAUUCAGUAGGUGUGAGUUGGAGCCAGGAAUCUCUACAAACUCAUUCCAGGAUAAGAAACUCUUUAAGCCUCCAGUGUUAGUAUUUGUGGACUGCAAACUAGGAGCAGAUCUUUUGAGUGAAGCCGUUCAGAAAAUCACAGGGCUGAAAAGCAUAUCUAUACAUUCAGAGAAGUCGCAAAUAGAAAGGAAAAACAUAUUGAAGGGAUUACUUGAAGGAGACUAUGAAGUUGUAGUGAGCACAGGAGUCUUGGGACGAGGCCUAGACUUGAUCAGUGUCAGGCUGGUUGUCAAUUUUGAUAUGCCUUCAAGUAUGGAUGAGUAUGUCCAUCAGAUUGGAAGAGUAGGAAGAUUAGGUCAAAAUGGAACAGCGAUUACUUUCAUCAAUAAUAAUUCAAAAAGACUCUUCUGGGAUAUUGCAAAACGAGUAAAGCCCACAGGAUCCAUUCUUCCCCCUCAGUUAUUAAAUUCCCCAUACCUUCAUGACCAGAAGAGAAAGGAACAACAGAAAGAUAAACAGACACAGAAUGAUCUGGUUACAGGAGCUAAUCUUAUGGAUAUUAUCAGAAAACAUGAUAAAAGUAAUUCUCAGAAAUGAUUUUCUCUGCCACUUGAAUAUUUUUUUUUAUUGUAUAUAGUCAGCAAAAAAUUAUGGUUUGCAUAAAUGGAAAUGUACAUGAAUUUUAAAAAUUUUAAGAUAUUUUUAAUUUAAUAAAAUUUAUAUAACUAUAUUGUAUUUAUUUCCCUUAAUUCUUAUAAAUUAAAAACAUCAGAAAAUGAAUUAUUAAAUAAAAG